AAAACUCCAUCUCAAAAAAUAAAAAUAAUUCUCCUUCCCCUUGGUGAGGAAAUGGAGAUGACACCUCUUUCUGGCCGGAUGGGAAAUGGCAGUAAAUGGUCACAGUUCCCCUUCCUCUUGGUGGCCAAGGAAGCAUUCUGAUUGGGCCUAAAGUCGAGGAAACUCCCAUUUCCAAAGUGCCUGCUGGGUCCUUGUCAGCCAAGGGAAGACCAUCACAUAUCCAUGAAGGUUCAUUUUCAGUGUCGACUUGGCCAUGGGAUGCCCAGGCAUUUGGUCAGACAUGAUUCUGGCAUGGCUGUGAGGGUGUUUCUGGAUGCAAUUUGCCUUUGAAUGGGCAGACGGAGAACAGCAGAACGUCCUCCCUGGUGUGGGUGGGCCUCGUCCAAUCAGUUGAAGGCUUGCUAGAGCAAAAAGGCUGACGCUCCCACAGGUAGAAGGACAUUACCUGCCUGACUGCUUGCGCUGGGACAUCAUUUUUUCUUGCCUUCAGACUUGCACUGAGACUUCAGCUCGUCUCACAUCUUGAGCCUGCUGGUUUUUGGACUGGAGCUACACCAUUGGCUGUCCAGGUCUUCAGCUUGCCAACUCACACUGCAGCCUCCAUCAUCAAAUGAAGAGUAGUGGGAUGGGGCCAGCUCUGCCUGAGAUCUGAAAGUCACCAGGGGCCACAGAAAAGUUUCCUGCCUGAGAAGAACGGAAGGGAUGCACAAGGAGGAAACCUCCUCCCGGGAGCUGAGGCAGUGACAGUGGCCCUGAGGAAAGGCAGGAACCUAGCGGUGGCAUCCAAAACUGUGGAAUUAACCAACCCGGGCCCUCGUACCUCAGGGUUGAGAGUCACGUGUGCUAAUAAACCUGUAGGGUAAGACCUAAAAUUUAAACCCAACACUAUGUGCUGCCUUGAUCUCUGCUCCAGUCGGAAGGGCCAGGUGUGACCGAGCUGCAAGUUCCCCUCCUCACUCUUUUCUCUCAGAUAAGGCCCCCCAGCCAAACAUCCCUCCUUACCCAGGGGACCAGGCAGGGCUCCUGCUCACCCACCAGCUGUGGGUUUCACUUCCUUACCAGCCUGUGGAAUUACUUAAACAAGUCAAUCAUAUUCUCCGGUGGGAACCAGGGGUCACCACACCCUCUUGCUACUACCACCAAGCCUGCCUCCCACAGCCCCUGCUGGCUCCCUCUGUUCCUGAGUGCAGUUCCCAUGGGGCCCUGUGUGGGGCACUGUCCUCCUCCCCUGAGCUGUGAGUUCAGGUUACUAAUAACCUGCUGUCAAUCGCACCUGUCCAGUAUCAGGUGCUGUGUGUUUGGCCAUUGCUACAAUCCCAGGGCAGGAAUCCUUCUCUCAUUAACAGGUGAAUAGGAGGAAAUUAAAACUGUUAUUUACAUAAGCUGCUUUAAGUCAGGUGUUAUUUAUGGCUGGACGCAACGUGUCAUCUAAGCCCAGGUGCUCCUGUAAUACCAGUUACUCCUACCCUGAAUGUCUCCCACUUGUACUCGCUUGACACGGACUCAGGAAAGCAUCAAGCCAGUGGGUUUAUUUCCUGCACCCAUAGCGUGACAGAUCACAGAACCUGAUCACCGUGUGGCACAUCCAUGAAUCCAGGUAGCACUGGCACGGCUACUCUCAACAACUGUCCAGGAAAUGAGAGGCCGUUCUGUUUCCUAAAGGGGCCAAUAUAUUAUUUUUAUUUUCCCUCUGGAAUACUUAAAAACAAUUUGUAUUGGUGGUUUUUUAAAGGGUUAUAUUUUCUACAUUCUAAAUGUGCAGAAGAACGUGCUUUCUGGCAGACAGGGAGUAUGUCACACAUUUUUAUGUCUUCUGUGCCAGAACCUUAAAAUCGUUUUCUUUUUAAAAUCAGACUAAAACGUUCAUUAGGACCUCUGAAGCUCCCUAGAAACCAUGCAGUCUAAUGUGGCAUGUGCCGGGAUUUCAGAGGACAGAGCAAAAUGUUUCCAAUUCUUUCCCAACCUCUCCAGCUCACCUCCUGUCUUGCCUCCACCCCACGGCUCAUCUUCCAACCUUGCCCAUUUACGGGGCCUGUUGCAGAACAGCCCAUGCACUCUCACACCUGCAAACUGCUCGUUGCUCUGCCAGAAAUACCUUUGCCCCUCUGAUGCCCAAGAACACCUGCUCAUUCUUAACAGCUCGUCUGUUAAUUCCAGGUGAAUUGACUUCUCCAUCACCACCAAGCAGCUGACAUUAUUUCCCCAUCUGUUUGUAUAUCAUUCUGUAUAAUUUAUUACACUCACAUUGUAAUUUUUGUUUUGUAAACCAAUUUAAGCCAAAUUGUUCACUGAUCUACUUGUCUGCCUCCCCCUAAACACACAUGGACUUAGGGACCAGGGCUCUAUUUUAGAGGCAAGUAAAUGCUUCUCCCUCUCCCUUGCCUUACAAUUCUAGGGAAAGAAGUGUCAUUCCAUUCGUAUCUGGGUGUUGAGGCCCUUGUGUAUUUGUGAUGGGGUUUAUUAUGGGAAGAGAACGUUAAGCUGAUCUACCAUCUUGGGUAAAAUCUUUUCAAGCUCAUUCACAUAAUUUACAAAUUACUUGGAACUGGCUCCUGUCUGAAUUCCAAUUACCCUCCAUCCUCCCCACACUUACAGCUUUCUCUAAGUGAGAUUUGGCAGGGCAGGGGGACCGGCGGGGGAAUGAGGCACCAACUCUGACCAGCUGCCUCUUUGAGCCGUCGCUGUCUGGCAGGGCUGGAGCUAAUGAUUUCUAUGGUUACCCCAAAUUAUGAACUCUGAUCGUUCUGCGAUCCUUGGCCCUUUGACAUGCCCCUUUUAUAAUCAUGCUUUUUGAGUUUACAGUUCCAGCCCCAUCCUUGCUGUUCAGUACCCACUCCUGCUACGUUAAUCCACGAGGAUUCCGGAAAGCAGCUCUGAAAUUUGGAAUUCCAACAAUGCCUGCAUUUGCUCAUUUGGAGGCAUUUCAAGCAGCUAUUUUUAUUCUUUGUUCACAUCACCAGGUUUCAAGAAAGCACCCGAGACACUGUGCCAUUAAGUGUUGAGUCAGGACAGGAGAUCUGCAAGGCAAAAACAAAUUCCCCUUCCAUUUCCACCUGCUGUGCACACUCCCAGCUUCUGGACCCUUGCUGACCUACGCGUCUCAACAUUUACAAGAUAAUCUGACACAUGGGAUUGAUAUCAUGUGGAAAAAGUCUUUUCCCUUCUUUUGAAAACUUAGGAGAGCUAGAGAGCUUUGGGACUUGAACAGCUCCCAGUUAAGUUAUAAUAAUAAUAAAUAAUCUUUGGCAGUGGCUCAUGCCUGUAAUCCCAACACUUUGGGAAGCCAGAACAGGAGGAUUGCUUGAGACCAGCCUGGACAACAUAGCAAGACUACAUCUCUAAUUACAUUUUUAAAAAGUAAAGCACUUUUUUUUUUUGAGAUAGAAUCUCGUUCUGUUGCCCAGGCUGGAGUGCAGUGGCAUGAUCUCAGCUCAUUGCAACCUCCGCCUCCCGGGCUCAAGCGAUUCUCCUGCCUCAGCCUCCUGAGUAGCUGGGAUUACAAGCGCCCACCACCACGCCCUGAUAAUUUUUGUAUUUUUAGCAGAGAUGGGGUUUCACCAUGUUGGCCAGGAUAGUCUCAAACUCCUGACCUCAGGUGAUCCGUCCAUGGGUUUUC
rnacentral:lncRNA from 10 species